AGAAACCAACAGGGAUUGCCCUAGUAACGGCGAGUGAAGCGGCAAUAGCUCAAAUUUGAAAUCUGGCUCUUUUAGGGUCCGAGUUGUAAUUUGCAGAGGGCGCUUUGGUAUUGGCAGCGGUCCAAGUUCUUUGGAACAGGACGUCACAGAGGGUGAGAAUCCCGUACGUGGUCGCUAGCCUUUACCGUGUAAAGCCCCUUCGACGAGUCGAGUUGUUUGGGAAUGCAGCUCUAAAUGGGAGGUAAAUUUCUUCUAAAGCUAAAUACUGGCCAGAGACCGAUAGCGCACAAGUAGAGUGAUCGAAAGAUGAAAAGCACUUUGGAAAGAGAGUCAAAUAGCACGUGAAAUUGUUGAAAGGGAAGCGCUUGCAGCCAGACUUGCCUGUAGUUGCUUAUCCGGACUUUUGUCCGGUGCACUCUUCUGCGGGCAGGCCAGCAUCAGUUUGGGCGGUUGGAUAAAGGUCUCUGUCAUGUACCUCUCUUCGGGGAGGCCUUAUAGGGGAGACGACAUGCAACCAGCCUGGACUGAGGUCCGCGCAUCUGCUAGGAUGCUGGCGUAAUGGCUGUAAGCGGCCCGUCUUGAAACACGGACCAAGGAGUCUAACAUCUAUGCGAGUGUUUGGGUGUCAAGCCCAGACGCGUAAUGAAAGUGAACGGAGGUGGGAACCCUUUGGGUGCACCAUCGACCGAUCCUGAUGUCUUCGGAAGGAUUUGAGUAAGAGCAUGGCUGUUGGGACCCGAAAGAUGGUGAACUAUGCUUGAAUAGGGUGAAGCCAGAGGAAACUCUGGUGGAGGCUCGCAGCGGUUCUGACGUGCAAAUCGAUCGUCAAAUUUGGGCAUAGGGGCGAAAGACUAAUCACCAACAAGCCUUU
rnacentral:rRNA from 1 species